rnacentral:rRNA from 1 species
GAUGACGCUGGCGGCGUGCCUAAUACAUGCAAGUAGAACGCUGAAGGAAGGAGCUUGCUCUUUCCGGAUGAGUUGCGAACGGGUGAGUAACGCGUAGGUAACCUGCCUGGUAGCGGGGGAUAACUAUUGGAAACGAUAGCUAAUACCGCAUAACAGUAGAUGUUGCAUGACAACUAUUUGAAAGGGGCAAUUGCUCCACUACCAGAUGGACCUGCGUUGUAUUAGCUAGUUGGUGAGGUAACGGCUCACCAAGGCGACGAUACAUAGCCGACCUGAGAGGGUGAUCGGCCACACUGGGACUGAGACACGGCCCAGACUCCUACGGGAGGCAGCAGUAGGGAAUCUUCGGCAAUGGACGGAAGUCUGACCGAGCAACGCCGCGUGAGUGAAGAAGGUUUUCGGAUCGUAAAGCUCUGUUGUAAGAGAAGAAACGAGUGUGAGAGUGGAAAGUUCACAACUGUGACGGUAUCU